rnacentral:rRNA from 1 species
UUGAUCCUGGCUCAGGACGAACGCUGGCGGCGUGGGUUAGACAUGCAAGUCGAACGAGAAGCUCCCUUCGGGGAGUGGAGAGUGGCGCACGGGUGAGUAACACGUGAGCAACCUGCCGGGAAGCCCGGGAUAGCCCUCCGAAAGGAGGAUUAAUACCGGAUGUGGCCACCCUGCGAUUGCAGGGGAAGCUAAAGGAUUUAUUCACUUCCCGAGGGGCUCGCGGCCCAUCAGCUUGUUGGUGAGGGUAACGGNCCACCAAGGCGACAACGGGUAGCUGGUCUGAGAGGAUGGUCAGCCACACUGGAACUGAGACACGGUCCAGACACCUACGGGUGGCAGCAGUCGAGAAUCAUUCGCAAUGGGGGAAACCCUGACGAUGCGACGCCGCGUGGAGGAUGAAGGCCUUAGGGUUGUAAACUCCUGUCAAGAGGGAAUAAGCAAGUGAAGGUACCUCUAGAGGAAGGGGCGGCUAAUUCCGUGCCAGCAGCCGAGGUAACACGGAAGCCCCGAGCGUUGUUCGGAUUCAUUGGGCGUAAGGGGUGCGUAGGCGGCGCGGAAAGUCCGGCGUGAAAGGCAGGGGCUCAACCUCUGGACUGCGUUGGAUACUUCCGUGCU